GUUUUUCUUCCUCCUUCUUUCUCACUUGUGUUUCUUUUCCAUUCCUUCUCCUCUCUCAUUUCUUCCCCAAAUCCAUCUCGUAGAACCCUAACUCCAAACUCACGGCAACAAGGACAGCAGGUCGACAACGAGGACGGGGACGAGUACGGCUUCCAUCUUUCUCCUCUCAUUUUUUCUACAAACCCAUCUCUUAGAACCCUAGCCCCAAACUCACGGGAACAAGGACGGUAAAUCGGCAACGAGGAAGGCGACGAGUACGGAUUCUCCAGUUGCCAGGUUUUUGCUUGUUGAAGAAUCUUGGUGCUGCAAGCUUUGGGCUGAAACUUUAUUACCAGUGUUGGUUCGCGGGUUGUGUGAUACUAAGAUCUGAAGAGAGCUGGAAAGUUUGUUCUUUUUUUAGUUUUUCGACUUGCAAAUUUCUUGAAUACAAUUUCUUUUGGUUCUAAGCGUUCUUUUCUUUCCUAUUUUAGUUGUUGGAGCGAAUUGCUGUGAAUUCUGAGCUUAAGCUAAUAUAGUUUUUGGGGGUUUAUGCUGAAACGUGGUGGCCAUUUAGUUGAUGGGUUGGCCUGUGAGUUUCUUGAUUGCAUUUUUCUGUAUGUGGGGCAAUUGGUGAAGAAGAUCUAGAACUGAUGAUGAUAAAACCUUUCAUUAAAUGACUAUCUUAUUCUUCAUUA